rnacentral:misc_RNA from 1 species
AAGUCGUAGCAAGGCUUCCGUAGGUGAACCUGCGGAAGGAUCAUUAAUGAGAUCAUGCCCUUCGGGGUAGACCUCCCACCCCCUGUUAUCGUACCCGUUGCUUGGCGUCCCGUCGCCAAGACGGGCCGCCAGAGGACCUUUAAAACCCGUAUUCAUCAUUGUCGUCUGAGUACUAUACAAUAGUUAAAA